AAACCGUUCAGGGGUAAACCUGAGAAACCCAAAAGAUCGAAUGGGGAGAUUCAUCGUCAGCGGCGCUGGCUUCCUUGUAUUUCGCGAUGUUCGGGGAACCUCGGUUCCCACGGCACGCGUUUACUUGGUAUGUCUGGCGUUGUCGGCGUGCACUUCUCCCCUAGUAGAACGUCGCGACCCGUUGGGUGUCGGCCUACGGGCUGGGUGGUCGACUGUAUCGGCGUUUCGGCGAUCGGUGCAGACCCCCGGUUGCCCGGCCGGCUGCUCGGCGGUACUCGCAUGGUAUCGGGCCGCACUUACGUGCGUCAGGCCCGUCGCAAGCGCGGCCAGUGUCACCCGAAGGCGCGGACUAAGUGCCGUCCUCGGGCCUGGCCAGCUGUUGGUAGACGGUGUCCUCCGACAGGCCUCAUUUUCGAAUGAAGAUACCGGUCAGCGACGCUACUGCUUUGGGUACUUUCAGGA
rnacentral:rRNA from 2 species